rnacentral:rRNA from 1 species
GAUGAACGCUGGCGGCGUGCCUAAUACAUGCAAGUCGAGCGAACAGACGAGGAGCUUGCUCCUCUGACGUUAGCGGCGGACGGGUGAGUAACACGUGGAUAACCUACCUAUAAGACUGGGAUAACUUCGGGAAACCGGAGCUAAUACCGGAUAAUAUAUUGAACCGCAUGGUUCAAUAGUGAAAGGCGGUUUUGCUGUCACUUAUAGAUGGAUCCGCGCCGCAUUAGCUAGUUGGUAAGGUAACGGCUUACCAAGGCAACGAUGCGUAGCCGACCUGAGAGGGUGAUCGGCCACACUGGAACUGAGACACGGUCCAGACUCCUACGGGAGGCAGCAGUAGGGAAUCUUCCGCAAUGGGCGAAAGCCCGACGGAGCAACGCCGCGUGAGUGAUGAAGGUCUUCGGAUCGUAAAACUCUGUUAUUAGGGAAGAACAAAUGUGUAAGUAACUAUGCACGUCUUGACGGUACCUAAUCAGAAAGCCACGGCUAACUACGUG